GACGAACGCUGGCGGCGUGCCUCAUACAUGCAAGUAGAACGCAGUUGCGAACGGGUGAGUAACGCGUAGGUAACUGCCUCAUAGCGGGGGAUAACUAUUGGAAACGAAAGCUAAUACCGCAUACUGUGCGAUGGCCCUGCGUUGUAUUAGCUAGUUGGUGAGGUAAAGGCUCACCAAGGCGACGAUACAUAGCCGACCUGAGAGGGUGCUCGGCCACACUGGUACUGGUACAACGCCCAGACGCUUACGGGAGUCAGCAGUAGGGAAACUUCGGCAAUGGACGGAAGUCUUACCGAGCAACGCCGCGUGAGUGAAGAAGGUUUUCGGAUCGUAAAGCUCUGUUGUUAGAGAAGCGGUACCUAACCAGAAAGGGACGGCUAACUACGUGCCAGCAGCCGCGGUAAGAC
rnacentral:rRNA from 1 species